AGUCAAGUAAUUAAGUGCAUGUGGUGGAUGCCUUGGCAGUCAGAGGCGAAGAAAGACGUGAUAGCCUGCGAAAAGCUCCGGGGAGGCGGCAAAUAUCCUGUGAUCCGGAGAUGUCUGAAUGGGGAAACCCACUUACCAUAAGGUAGGUAUUGCAACAUGAAUACAUAGUGUUGCAAGGCGAACGAGGGGAAGUGAAACAUCUCAGUACCCUUAGGAAAAGAAAUCAAUUGAGAUUCCCUCAGUAGCGGCGAGCGAAAGGGGAAGAGCCCAUUAAGUCAUAUAAGUUCUAGUGGAACGCUCUGGGAAGUGCGACCGUAGACGGUGAUAGUCCUGUACACGAAAGGGCUUAUAUGAUGAUGUCGAGUAGGGCGAGGCACGUGAAACCUUGUCUGAAUAUGGGGGGACCAUCCUCCAAGGCUAAAUACUCCUGACUGACCGAUAGUGAACCAGUACCGUGAGGGAAAGGCGAAAAGAACCCCUGUGAGGGGAGUGAAAUAGAUCCUGAAACCGCAUGCAUACAAGCAGUGGGAGCCGGCUUAGUCCGGUGACUGCGUACCUUUUGUAUAAUGGGUCAGCGACUUAUAUUCAGUAGC
rnacentral:rRNA from 1 species